rnacentral:rRNA from 1 species
AACGUAGGAGACAAACGUUAUCCGGAGUUACUGGGCGUAAAGGGCGUGUAGGCGGCCAGGUAGGUCUGCUGUGAAAACUCGAGGCUUAACCUCGAGCUGUCGGCGGAAACCAUCUGGCUAGAGUCCGGAAGGGGAGAAUGGAAUUCCCGGUGUAGCGGUGAAAUGCGCAGAUAUCGGGAAGAACACCCGUGGCGAAGGCGGUUCUCUGGGACGGUACUGACGCUGAGACGCGAAAGCGUGGGGAGCGAACAGG